rnacentral:rRNA from 1 species
UACGUAGGUGGCAAGCGUUGUCCGGAAUUACUGGGUGUAAAGGGAGUGUAGGCGGGACUUUAAGUCAGAUGUGAAAUGUACAGGCUCAACCUGUGCCGUGCAUUUGAAACUGAAGUUCUUGAGUGAAGUAGAGGCAAGCGGAAUUCCUAGUGUAGCGGUGGAAUGCGUAGAUAUUAGGAGGAACACCAGUGGCGAAGGCGGCUUGCUGGGCUUUUACUGACGCUGAGGCU